rnacentral:rRNA from 1 species
AGUGAACGCUGGCGGUAGGCCUAACACAUGCAAGUCGAACGGCAGCACAGUAAGAGCUUGCUCUUACGGGUGGCGAGUGGCGGACGGGUGAGGAAUCCAUCGGAAUCUACUUUUUCGUGGGGGAUAACGUAGGGAAACUUACGCUAAUACCGUAUACGACCUACGGGUGAAAGCAGGGGAUCUUCGGACCUUGCGCGAUUGAAUGAGCCAUUGUCGGAUUAGCUAGUUGGCGGGGUAAAGACCCACCAAGGCGACGAUCCGUCGCUGGUAUGAGAGGAUGAUUAGCGACUCUGGAACUGAGACAUGGUCCCGAUCCGAACGGGAGGAAGAGUUGGGGAAUUUUCGACAUUGGGCGCAAGCCUCUACCACCCAUACCGGGAGGGUGAAGAAGUCCUUCGGGUUGUAAAGCCCUUUUGUUUGGAAAGAAAAGCAGCAGGUUAAUACCCCGCUUUUCUGACGGUACCCAAAGAAUAAACACCGGCGAACUUCGU